UGCCGGCGCAAGCGUGGCGAGCGAGACUUGAACCUGGUCAGAGUCGGAAGGCAGCAGCCAUAAGGGUUAUCGUUCGGGUUCGUUGUUGCUUGGCAGU
rnacentral:SRP_RNA from 2 species